AAAAUAUGCAUCAAAACAAGACGAGAAGUGAACUGUAAAUUUUUGACUUUAUUUCAAAGUCAUCCUCAAACAGAAUGACAGAAUUGUUCGUCUGUAUGUAGAGUAUUACCGUUUGAGGUUCUUGAAAAUUUUGCAUUGAAAAAUGCAACUGAUUAAACAAUCUGCGUUAUAUCUUUGUACAUAUUUUGUGCCAUCAUCAACAUAACGAAUUGUUUGUAUUUUUAUUUCAAAAUCGAGCGACGUUUAAUAUUAUGACUUCAUUUAGAUAAAUCCCAUUUCACCACCAACCUAUGUUGUCAUGACAACAACAAUGAAUCGAGAAGAAGGUUUGAAAGCUUUGGAAACAUCUAUCAAAGCCAUUGAAGAAGUCAUUAUGAACAAGAAAGGAACAUUUGUUUUACAACAAGCUCCAAAGGUUGUCACAGAUAUGGAUGAAGCAGACUUUGCAAAGGAACUGGAAAAACUUGAACGUCAAAAUGCAGAAGUUGAUGGUGAUGAUGAUAAUCCUGAUGAUGAAGAAGAACAAGAUGAAGCAUAAAUGAUUGUGGAGAUGUUUCCAUCACGAAAGUCAAAGUGUGAGUGAUAUCUGACGACGUCAUGAGCUCGACGCAGUCCGAAUUUUCGUUGGGUGAUGAAAUCACAAGGUUUUGAUUGGUUCUUGUAACUGUUUAUGCACAUUGAUGUCAUUACUCUCUACACACUCAGUAAUCACACUGACAGUAAUCCGUCAGAGUAAGACCUAUUUAUUCAAGUGGAUGAGAUUUCUUCUUCACAAGAGAGUUAACUGUGACUGUAAGAGCGUACUUUGUGGAUUUUUACUUGGUGCUUUAUUACAUGGCAAUGUUCAGUCGUCCAUAGAUCCAACACCGAAGGAAUAUGCAAUGUACGUGUCGUUUCUUGGUGAGAUUUGGGUGAGAGCAUUAAGACUUUUGGUUCUUCCUUUGAUUGUAUCCAGCUUGCUUUUGGCAGUCGCUGAAUUGGAGUCAAAACAGAGCGGAAAAUUAGGAAGAAGAACAUUGCUGUAUUGUGUUAUGACUACAAUGUUUGGGGAGUAAUUUGUUUAUUUGCAUUUAACCUGGAAAUGUUAACGUGAAAGAACCAGAACCGAACGAAGAAAAAGUUGAAGCAAUACAUUCUGUGCUUGAUCUUACAAGAUAAAUCCCAUUUCACCACCAACCUAUGUUGUCAUGACAACAACAAUGAAUCGAGAAGAAGGUUUGAAAGCUUUGGAAACAUCUAUCAAAGCCAUUGAAGAAGUCAUUAUGAACAAGAAAGGAACAUUUGUUUUACAACAACCUGAAUCACGGCAAAUCUUUGGCUCGUGGUCGAUGGUAAUUAUCGGAAUUAGCGGGAAAAACUACGUCAGAGGUCUGGUACCGACACAGAGACGCGAUUCUAGUCAUUUCUUUCUGGAUAGUAAGCCGUCCAUCGAAGCUCCUCAGUUCGUAGAUAUAUAAAAAUUGUCAAAUACCAGCUGUUAUCCUUCUAAUGCCUCCUUGUUUGUCAAAGUCAAUAAUGAGAGACGUCUACUGCAAUUAUCCACAAAAGAAUAAUGCUGUACCACAAUACAACCAAUGAAUGCCUCCGUGUUUGUCAAAAUCAAUAAUGAGAGACGUCUACACCAUUUAUCCACAAAAGAAUAAUGUUGUACCACAAUACAACCAAUGAAUGCCUCCGUGUUCAUCAAAAUCAAUAAUGAGAGACGUCUACUGCAUAUAUCCACAAAAGAAUAAUGUUGUACCACAAUACAACCAAUGAAUGCCUCCGUGUUUGUCAAAAUCAAUAAUGAGAGACGUCUACACCAUUUAUCCACAAAAGAAUAAUGCUGUACCACAAUACAACCAAACUAUCAUUGCUAUGUUCCAAAAAAGACCUGAGCGAAGUCCUUUUGUUAGAACUGAUAUGUACGAUAUUGUGAGCUUGCUUUACAUGUCGAAUGAGUUGGUUGAAAAAGAGAUCAUGAAAAGUGAAGGAGAAAAUGCACUCUCGGUUAUUCUGUCUCAUUUUGAUGAUCAAUCAAGAACAGUUUUACUUAGAACCUACAUUAAGCAACUUUUCAACUGUACAAAAUUUACGAAUAACGCCUUUCCUCUUUUUCCGUACAACAAUGAAAACAACCUAAACGGUUGGUUUACGCAGAAUUUUUCACGUUCUAAUGAUGCAGAGGGCAAAACUAAUCAAAAAUUAAAGAUUUUUAAUGCAAGCAACAAAGAUGAAGCAAUUAGAGGUAUCAUCGAGUUUGAAGGAUUGAAGAAAGACGAAGACGAAAAUACUGAGUUAUAUUUCCAUGGCACUGAUCAUUCGUCUGCUCAGAAUAUUCUUGAGAAUGGUAUUCAAUUAGGUAAAGGUGGUGAAAAGUGUGACUUGUCGCAUAGAGAUGGCUUCUACAUGGCAAAUGAUUAUGAAUACUCGUUAAUGCAAUAUUCUAAUAUAACAGAAGAAGCCCUUCUCAUUUUUUGUUUACGCCCAAAUAAUUUGAAAGGUUUCCAAGAAUUGUAUUUAUGUGGUAAGAGCAAUCAACAAGACUUUGUUGCAGUUACUUCCAUACUUUACGGUUGGAAGGAUAGGCUGUAAAGGUUCCAUGAGCAGGGAACUAUUUUCGGAAUUAGAGAAGUGCGAUUAUAUCAAAAGUCCAAUAACUAGUGAUGGUCGUUCAGCAGAUGACCAAAGGAAGAUAUUCUGCAGGUUUGUGUAAAGAACCCAAAAUGGCUGAGACAAUGAGCGGUUCUCCAUCAUUGGUGUGUGCAGUCUUUGUAAAGUCUGAUUCUGAAGAGAACGAUUCGUUGUUGGGUUUUGAUUCAUUUGUAUAUUGAAAACACCAUUUUGAAUCUGAUGCUUAGCAAUGGCCUGUUCAUGUGUAUUUAACUUCUUCAACUGGGAGGCAACAAGCAUUCCAAAUAAAUCAUUUUAAUCUUUUUCCA